rnacentral:rRNA from 1 species
UACGUAGGGGGCCAGCGUUGUUCGGAAUUACUGGGUGUAAAGGGUUCGUAGGCGGUGCGGCAAGUUGGGAGUGAAAUCUCUGGGCUCAACCCAGAGACGGCUUCCAAAACUGCUGUGCUUGAGUGUGGGAGAGGCUCGUGGAAUUGCAGGUGUAGCGGUGAAAUGCGCAGAUAUCAGGAGGAACACCGGUGGCGAAGGCGGAUCUCUGGGCCUUACCUGACGCUCAGGUGCGAAAGCUAGGGGAGCGAACAGG